GGAGAGAAGAUUCGAGUGAGGAGGGAGACUUGUGAGACCGAAAAGCCAGAACUCAAGAAAAGCAGACAGCCUGGCCAGCAGCCCUGAGGUACAGAGUCAGCUCAACCACACUCAGUACUGUAAAGGAGAUCUAUUUAUUCUGUAAUUAGCAAACGAUAAGAAGAAAGCUUUCUUCCGUCUUGGCAUGCAGUCUGGAAUGUCCAGUUACAACACUGGUAUGCUGUCAAAAGAUUUUACAUCCUGAACCUCUCUCUGUUGUGUCACUGGUAUGUUGGCCCUGAGAUAGUCCGGAGUGGAGCAAAAGCCAGUAUCAUGUUGAUAACAACUGAAUCCUUGCAUUUAUAUAAUGUGACAUGUCUUGACCAGCAUUGUUUAGGUCUUGGCAUAUCCGCGAAUGCCUAGGGCAGAACACCAAAGGAAACGCUGACUCUGAAAGUUUGCUCAGAAUACGUGUGAGGGAAUUCACUGGUUAAAGCAAAUACAUGUCCAAACAAGUACUGGUUUGCUCAGGGAGUACACGGACCUGGCAAGCCUCCUUCGGCAUGGAGAGCGCUGGCCAUCCAGACAGCGCCUCCCAAAGAGCUCUAGGCUUUUGGAGGGAUUAACCAUAGCUGCGGGGUGUUUAGAAGAACAUUAUCCAGUCCUUCAGGCUUAAAGGAGGCGAUGGUGACCCAGAACUCAGGAGAAGAGAGUCCCCAAGGGAGAAAUGCUGGCGGGAAGGACCUCAUUUAUGUGUGCUCAUAUAUCAAACAGGACUUGGAAUUUGAAAGAGAAAUAAAAAAUCCUCUAUGUUAAGAUAAAGAACUUCUGAAGCGUUAAAGCGUAAUAAAAAAUGAAAUUAAUGUGAAGUCAACUUGCCGGGCAAAAACUCUUAUCAGGAGAAUGAGCAGUGAAAUUCCCAGGAAAGAGCCACAGCCGAAAGCAGUCCAUGGCUUGCCAAAAAAGGAGAAUGGACACCAACACACAUACUGCAGCAAUCGCUGCCUGGGGGCUACUGUACAUACUAACACUGUGGACCAGGAUAGCGAUUCAGCGCAUCCAACUUUGAAGGUAAGAAGAAAGGAAAGUCAUCUUCUUAGAUUCCUCAAAGAUACAAGUACCCUUGUUAUCGACACUCGGUGGAUAGAUAUAAGGGCCCAGGAGCUUCUUAGAUCAAUCUGGGACAGAAUAUAUAUUUACCAUCUAACUCUGGGGACAUUCUCAAGAGUAUAA
rnacentral:lncRNA from 1 species